rnacentral:rRNA from 1 species
AAAUGAAUAGACGGGGACCCGCACAAGCAGAGGAGCAUGUGGCUUAAUUCGAUGCAACGCGAAGAACCUUACCCGGGUUUGACAUGUAACUGCACAUCCUGUGAAAGCAGGAUUCCUUCGAGGGUGUUACACAGGUGCUGCAUGGCUGUCGUCAGUUCGUGCCGUGAGGUGUUUGGUUAAGUCCAGCAACGAACGCAACCCCUGUGUCCAGUUGCCAUCAGGUAAUGCUGGGAACUCUGGACAGACUGCCCGUUUACGCGGGAGGAAGGUGGGGACGACGUCAAGUCAGUAUGGCCCUUACAUCCGGGGCUGCACACGUGCUACAAUGGCCGGUACAAUAGGAAGCUUGACCGCAAGGUUUGGCCAACCCCGAAAACCGGCCCCAGUUCAGAUUGGGGUCUGCAACCCGACCCCAUGAAGUCGGAUUUGCUAGUAACGGCGUAUCAGCUACGACGCCGUGAAUACGUUCCCGGGUCUUGUACACACCGCCCGU